rnacentral:tRNA from 1 species
GCCCCCGUAGCUCAGUGGAUAGAGCAACCGCCUCCUAAGCGGUAGGUCGCAGGUUCAACUCCCGCCGGGGACAC